CGAACCCAGUAAACCCUUCCUUAGAACCAUUAUUCUUCUUCAUCGCAACAAUCUUCUUCUUCUUCUUCUUCUUCAAUGCAAACAAUCUUCUUUUUUUCACUGCAAUCAAUCGAAUUCUUUAUUGCACCUUCAUCACCUUCGAACCAUUCGUAAAGUGAAACCCUAACUUUCAUAGAAAUUGAACUGCUUUACUCAAACUUGAAAAUUCGAACCGUUCCUUCGCUGAAAACUUGGAAAUUCGAACCGUUCCCUUCACCCAUUGAUAUGUAUUGAAACUUUAAACCCUAACUUUUUAUUUUUAUUUAUCGUGAGUUUUCAAUUUCAUUUUUUGGAGCAUAUGAUUUUUAAGAGAACUGAUCGACGUACCGCGAGAGAUCUGGAAGAGGAGAUUGAGAAUAUGGGUGGACAUCUUAAUGCUUAUACUUCGAGGGAGCAGACUACUUAUUAUGCUAAAGUUUCGCAGAAUGAUGUACCUAAUGCACUUGAUAUUCUGGCUGAUAUUCUGUGUUUAUUGCAGUUAUUUUCAAUCUCUUAAUCUCUCGGAUGUUUGAGCUAAUUGUGGACUAAUCGUCUCGGAGGUUUGAGCUAGAAUCAUUAGUGUCUGGGCUGUGCAGAAUUUUCUGUCUCUCGCAGUCUCGCUUCAAUUUCUCUCUUGAUCAUUAUGGCAUCGUGGGGUAAUAGAAAGCAAUAUGAGGCUCAAAUACUUACGAAGGAAAAUUAUGUUUCACUACAAUAGUUUUGAUCUAUGGCAGCACCGCUUUUCUUCCGUUUAUGUUAUUGAGGUUUCCUAAUCUAUAAAAACAUUAGUACAUGUUCAGCUUCAUCAAAGGGAGUUCUAUUUUCACCCUUAUUGUCUUGAUAUGUAUUGUACUUUAUAAGAUGGAGGAGGAAUGUGAAAUGUAUAGAGGGGAGGCUCACAAGGCACCCAUCCUAGCAGCUAUAAAAUUGGGAAUGUGGUCCUUCUGUUCUAUUUUGCAAAAAUGUGAGAUUUCCAUUGAGCAAAAGUGUGUAUGGUGUAGAACCAUCUGAAAGUGCAGUACUGAGAAUAGAGGAAAAUCAGGCAAACAUCAAAUCCAAGGGAUUGGUGUUGGCAUCGUUCCGCCUGUCUUGGAAGUUGGUCUCCUAAAAGAAGUUAUUCAGGUUUUAUGAACGAUACAUGUUUCAAGUGAAGAAGCUAUAGAAACUACUAAGUUGCUUGCCUUGAAAGAAGGUUUACUGUUCAGGACAUUUUCUCAUGAAGGAGAAAACUUCUCAUUCUCAAGCAUGGUUUAUCUAUUCAUGGGUUCCAAAUGUCAUUGUUGCUAAGAAGUAAGAAAACAGAAAAUCCACCUCAAGCAUUAGCGAAAGAAGCAAUUGUUGAUGAGAGAUAUGAGUUAUCUCUUUUUUUAAUCAUCUUAUUUUAAUUAUCAUUUGAUUGUGAUAUUAUAUUUCUAUUGCAAGUUUUUAUUUUGAUAAUGAUUAAAAGUUUCGUAACAUUGUUGAUAGUGACAUGUGUUAAGAGACAAGGCUUGGUGAUAUUUCUUAUCUCUUUCACCUUGUCUUAGUGUUGUUUAUUACUUGUGAAUGUU